GGGGUGCCGUCAGCGAGGAAGGUGGCGGAGCCGGACCAGCAGCCAUUGAUGUCGAAGGAAGAGUCCGGGUCCAUCGCAUUCUCGAGGGCGGACCAGUUUAUGAGGUCGACGGAGACGGAGUGACCCCAGGAGAGGUUGCCGUUGCCCCAGGUGGCCUGGUAGGGGUUAUGCUGGUAGAAGAAGUGGUACACGCCCUUGUAAUACAUCGGCCCUGUACAUUCAAAGGAAAAAAAUGACUGUCAGUUGAGUUCCCA